UAUGUCUUUUAGGGGCGUCCUUCAUGGGUUCAAAAGCGUUUCUGGAUCCGACCCGAUAAGAUUUCCAACGAUGAGAGCACAAGAGUGAGAACUUGAGACUGGGAGUUUUGGUGAAGGAUGACAUGGCGCGCAGGAGUCGGCACUUGGCAUUGGAUCGGCGUGAACGAGGUGCAGACAUACGUGUGGACAGCAGAGGCUGCUACGUAGCGCCCUGCAUGUCUCGCCACCCCGAUGCAUGCAUUCCGAGAACGUGAGCUGGCUUCGACUGUUCACAUGUCCGUGCGUGUAUAUACUCCCCGCGCCAUCAUCGUCGGUAGCUGCUUAAUUCGGGAGUUGGAGGCAAGAUGGAGGUGAAGGCAACAGCAUGUGCUGUCGUCAUGUUUCUGCUUUUCUCUGCCUCUCCUAUGAAGAUGACGAUGGUAAUAACGUACGUCUGGAAAUGAAAACUGGUCGCAGAGCUGAUGAUGCCGGGAGUGGAAGCAAGAGUGUGCAGGUACCCGAGCCGCUCCUUCCGGGGGCUAUGCUUCUCCGACACCAACUGCGCCCAUGUCUGCCAGACCGAGGGCUUCAACGGUGGGCAUUGCCACGGUCUCCGGCGCCGGUGCAUGUGCCUGAGGAGAGGCUGCUGAAGCGGGCCCUGUCAUUAGAUGAAGAGUCAGUCUUGUUCUGCAUGCAUAGUAAUCCAGAUUAGGCCAAAAUAAACUGUGUUCUUGGCAGCACGUGUCUGUAGUUUAGGUCGAGUCAAAUACAAUCCCUGUUAAGGAAAGGACACCAUUUACUCGCA